ACAGAAGCCGGGAUAGCUCC
rnacentral:tRNA from 1 species